UGGCAAAGGGGACCAGAAUUAGUGGAGGGAUAGAAUCGGAAGUGAUGAUAGGGGAGGACACAGCUGGUGAUGAAGGAGCAGACAAGCUGGGUGAAUUGAUUAAGGCAGGUGUAGAAGAAGGGAGGUGUGGAGGGGGUGAAGGUGGAGGAGAUGAAGACUGAAAUGGAAAAGAGGAUUCAUGGAAGAUCACAUUUCUGGAAAUGUAGAUACGACUAGUGGAGACAUCAAGACAUAAGUAACCUUUAUGAGCUGGUGCAUAUCCA
rnacentral:lncRNA from 1 species